GAUGUUAGCUCAGUGGUAGAGCAUCUGCCUUACAAGCAGAUGGCCAUAGGUUCAAAUCCUAUACAUC
rnacentral:tRNA from 1 species